UGCACAACAACAGACAGGAUAUCCAG
rnacentral:piRNA from 1 species